GAUUCCAUGAACUGCGAUUUCCUUGACCAAGGCAGUGCCUCACCUACAUCUGGCUGGUCCGAAGCUGCACGCCACUUCUGACUCCUGUGGUAUAGGGCUUAGCUACAUACUCUGGGCUCCCAGAUGAGAUACAACACCUUCACUCAUAGGCUCCCAUGCUUACUCAAGUGUGAAUCAAACAUCCAUCCAACCUGCUCCCCAACUGUAAGAAAUAAACAUCAAAUUUUCGGAGCUCCUGAAAUUGUGAACUUCUCGCAUGAGACCUGAGGUAAAGGCUGACUCAUGUCUGUGCUGAUCAAGGAUAGAUGAUGAUGAGCGAUCACACGGUGGAGCCAGGAUCAAGUGUUAAAGGAAGGGCCAUGCUGCACUGAGACUGAGAGAUCACCCAAAGCUGAAGAGCAUCCACAGGAGGAAACAAUGCUGAGGUCAAGAGCUGAAUCACUUGAAUGAGAUAACUUCUGUCAAUACUGAAGUUCAAUUUUUCCAGCCAGGGUGGCAAUCAUUUCUUCUAUAGAGCAUCAAGAUUGUUCCCCUAAAAACAAGCAUGAAUCAGCAGUGGAGCUCUACUCUGCCUACACAAGUUUCUGAAUUAGCUUUGCUUUUCCUCCAGUUAUUUAAAUUUUCAAUAUUUAAUAACUUUUAUGUACUGAUGACAUCCAUAAACUGCUAAGAGAAGUAUCCUUCAAUCUUGAACUUUUGGACAUUUCUACACUUUCUUAUACCCUCAGCUUGUUCAUUCAAUCUUCCAAACUUUUCCUGAUCACUAAAUUUUGACUUAAGGAGCCUCUGAAUUGGAGGCCUAUAUUCUGAUAUUUUUCCUCUUUUCACACAAACACUGUAAA